rnacentral:rRNA from 1 species
GACGAACGCUGGCGGCGUGCCUAACACAUGCAAGUCGAGCGCUGACGGUUUGUACUUGUGCCCACUGGAUGAGCCGCUAACGGGCGAGUAACGCGUGGAUCAUCUGCCUUUGAGUGGGGGACAACAUCUGGAAACGAAUGCUAAUACUGCAUCAAACCUUUAAACACAAGUUUCAAGUGUGAAACAUGCCUUUGCAUCAUUCAAAGACGAUCCCGCGGUGUAUUAGCUAGUUGGUGAGGUAAAGGCUCACCAAGGCGAUGAUACGUAGCCGACCUGAGAGGGUGAUCGGCCACAUUGGAACGGAGACACGGCCCAAACUCCUACGGGAGGCAGCAGUAGGGAAUGUUCGGCAAUGGACGAAAGUCUGACCGAGCAAGGCCGCGUGAGUGAAGAAGGUGUUCGGAUCGUAAAACCCUGUUGGUGGAGAAGAACGGCAGUGGGAUAGGACAGCGCGUUAAGGACGGUAACCUACCAAGAAGCACAGGCUAACUUAGUG